GACGAACGCUGGCGGCGUGCUUAACACAUGCAAGUCGAACGGAAAGGCCCUGCUUUUGUGGGGUGCUCGAGUGGCGAACGGGUGAGUAACACGUGAGUAACCUGCCCUUGACUUUGGGAUAACUUCAGGAAACUGGGGCUAAUACCGGAUAGGAGCUCCUGCUGCAUGGUGGGGGUUGGAAAGUUUCGGCGGUUGGGGAUGGACUCGCGGCUUAUCAGCUUGUUGGUGGGGUAGUGGCUUACCAAGGCUUUGACGGGUAGCCGGCCUGAGAGGGUGACCGGCCACAUUGGGACUUGGGUACGGCCACGCCUCCUACGGGAGGCAGCAGUGGGGAAUAUUGCCCAAUGGUCGGACGCCUGAUGCCGCCCCGCCGCGUGCGGGAUGACGGCCUUCGGGUUGUAAACCGCUUUCGCCUGUGAUGAAGCGUGAGUGACGGUAAUGGGUAAAGAAGCACCGGCUAACUACGUG
rnacentral:rRNA from 1 species